GCGCUCGUGGAGCAAGUUAAAAAUGGCUGAUGAUAUACGAAUGCAUUUGCGAAUCGCGAGUCGAUUCGUGUUCUUCGGUCGUUACUUUUUGUGAUUUUCUCACGUGUAGUGGUAUUUCUUUGCGUGUUUGUAAAAUAUUAAUAAUAUUAUUUCAAAUUUUUCCGUAUAUAACAAUUAAUUGGAGAGGAACAAAGGAAAUAAAAUAUUCGGAAUAUUUUAACGAAAGUUCCCGAAGGUGAUUCAUUGUCUAACUGAAUUUUUAGCUUAGAAAGAUCGUGUUUUGGAGAAAAUUCUUACAUCACGAAUAAAAUUUUAAUUAAAUAUGACUGAAGAACACCAAUUGCCCUCCGAUUCUGAUGAAGAUGAUGAAGAUUAUAUUCCCGAUGGUGCAGACAGUGAACCAGUAUCUGAAGUAGAAUCUGAAGGUGAUGCAGAGAGUGGUCCUGAAGAUGAGAAUGAUGAGAACCAAAGAGAAACGACGAAGAAAAGAGGAAGAAAGAAAAACAAAGUUAUAAAAUCUAAAAUUAGAAAACGUAGAAGAAGGAAAAAGGUAACAGAGGAUAAGGAUGAUGAAAAAGAGGAAAAACAACAAAAAGAGGAAUCUAUUGAGAAAAAAGAACUUACCGAAGAAGAAGAGAAAAAAAGGGCCGACUCUCUUUGGGCUGAUUUUAUGAAAGACACGGCAAUGACACCUAAACCUAAGCAACAAAAUGUAACAAAUAAAUCUAAAGAGAGAUCGCCAUCUAUAGAAAAGCCAAAAGUGGAAGAAAAAGUAAAAAUAACUAAAGUAUUUGAAUUUGCUGGUGAAGAAGUAAAAGUAGAAAAAGAAGUCUCGAUAGAUUCAGCAGAAGCAAGAAUAUCUCUAUCCUCUGCCGAGAAUUCUGAGAAAACAGGAAAUUCUGGAUCUCCUGCGGGUAGAGGAUCUGGAAGAGGUAGAGGUUUCAAACGGGCUGGUUUAGGGGGUAUUUCUUCUGUCCUUGGUCAAUUAGGGAAGAAGGCGAAAAUUAGUACGUUAGAAAAAUCCAAACUAGAUUGGGAUAAUUAUAAGAAACAAGAGAAUUUGGAGGAAGAAAUUAGUACUCAUAACAAAGGCAAGGAUGGAUAUUUAGAACGUCAAGAUUUCUUACAAAGAGCAGAUUUACGACAAUUUGAAAUUGAAAAGCAAUUACGUAAUGCAAACAGACGUAGUACACGGUGAAUUUAUAAUUUAUGUAUAUAUAUUAUAUAUAUAUAUAUGUAUAUGUAUAUAUAUAUGUAUAUAUAUAUGUAUAUGUAUAUAUAUAUAUAUAUAUAUCUUCCUUAACAAUGAGAACCAGAAAUGGUAUUGAGAAAAAUAUCUUAUUAGAAUUGCCAAUUAUUGGCGCUUGUAGCACAUAUUUACUCGAAUUGUUUAAACUCUUACUAAAUAUCUCAUGCCAUGUAUAAAAAUGUGAUUGCCUCGCUUGGCUUGACAAUCGGCUGGAUCUGGUUAAGAAACGAUUGAGAGCCAAUUCUGUGAGAAGAGACUGAUCAUUCCAAUGUAUCGAAGAUAAUAUAGUACGUUAUGUAAUAGUCUAAUCAUCUGCGAGCGUUGUCUCGAUCCAUUAUAUCACAGAACUUCGCAUCGAAGCAGGAUGUUUGAAGCUUGGUGCUUCGGAGACCGAUGAUAUAUAUUCUAACAAUAAACAAGCUCCAGAGAUGUUUUUAUUCCAUUUCAGUGGAAGAAAGGAUGAUUGAUGACAGUGUAGAUUAGUAAAAUCAAUGCUCCGUUUCAAUCGUAUAUACGAUAGGAUAUAAAGAGAAGAAAAUCGAAAAUGUAUAAUCUCUACGAAUAAUUCAGAACAAGAAUGUGUAACAAGAAUGUCACAAUAAGAGAAAUUCAAGUAUAUGAUCCUUUCAAAAAAGAAGAAGAAGAAGAAGAAGAAGAAGAAGAAGAGACGAAAAAUCUUGUUCGAAGCUUUGUAAGUUUCUCUUUUAAAAAAAAUAAAAGAACAACAAUUUCUUCCUUUUAUCUCAACACGUCAUCGCGAAAACAUCUAUUAAAAUCCACUUUGCGAUCUUUUGGUCGAUCGGAAAUCGAAUACACGUCGAAUCAAUUAAACCAGCGGAUCGAGUCGCGUGCGAGUCGCGAAUUUUUCAAGCGCCACGUCGCCUUUUAUUUUUCCUUUCCCCCUCUUCUUCCUCAAUGAUCCUCGCGAUCUCGAAGGUGUCGCGAGCGUCGUAAAGUUGAAUUACCGAUUGCACGCCGCUUAGCGGCGGCGAGGAGGACGAAGGAGGGGAGGCGGGCGAAAGAGGAAGCCACGCGAACCGGAGGUGGAUCGUGUGUGCAAAAGCGGGAAUAUCGACGCCAGACUGGCGGCCGUUAGUCGUGGCCUUGCCAUCGGCAGUUUAUUCACGAACCGGAAUAUCUGUUCGACCGUUCGUUCCUUGGCCAACUUCCAUUCUUUUCAACGCACCUCGAACCAACCUCUCCUCUUUCGGCAGAGAGAGAGAGAGAGAGAAUGCACUUGUUACUUUCCCGAUUGCUCGAGAGGAGCGCACGUGCAUACAUACGCGGUGAGAUUAAGUUUGGUCGAGGCGUUGAAAGUGCCUCUUUGUUCGGAUCGGUCGGUGUUGCUACUUGAAUUUGACGAGCGACCGGAAAUUGGAAUUCAAGUGGAAGGUAAUUUGAAACUUGAGGAAAAACUUUCCGUCUCGAUUCGGUCGAAUCAUUAUGUAUCAAGUUGGCUCGAAUUAAGACGUGGUUAUUAAAAAUGAUGCGUAUUGUAAUGAUAAAUCUAAUAUCUGUAUACCAUUGUAACUAAUUUAUCUUCCAAACGAGGGCUUAUCUCGAUCUUGUUCUAUCCACGUGCAUAGAUACGGAGAAUAAAAUGAAAUACAAUCUAAAUAAACUAAUAAUCGAAGAGAA